rnacentral:tRNA from 1 species
AGGCUCUGAAGCUCAUAAGAGUUUUAAGUUGCAAACUUGAAGGUGGAUUAAUUCCCGGGGCAUA